rnacentral:rRNA from 1 species
GACGAACGCUGGCGGCGUGCUUAACACAUGCAAGUCGAACGGAAAGGCGCUGCUUUUGUGGGGUUCUCGAGUGGCGAACGGGUGAGUAACACGUGAGUAACCUGCCCUUGACUUUGGGAUAACUUCAGGAAACUGGGGCUAAUAACGCAUAGGAGCUCCUGCUGCCUGGUGGGGGUUGGAAAGUUUCGGCGGUAGGGGAUGGACUCGCGGCUUAUCAGCUUGUUGGUGGGGUAGUGGCUUACCAAGGCUUUGACGGGUAGCCGGCCUGAGAGGGUGGCCGGGCACAUGGGGACUACGAGAGGGAGCAGACUCGUACGGGAGGCAACAGUGGGAAGUAUUACACAGUGGGGGCGCGCCUGAUGCAACAGCGUCGCGUUCGGGAUGACCGCCUUCGGGUUGUGAACCGAUUUCGCCUGAGACGAAGCGUGAGUGACGGUAAUGGGUAAAGAAGCACCGGCUAACUACGUG